rnacentral:rRNA from 1 species
AGAGUUUGAUCCUGGCUCAGGACGAACGCUGGCGGCGUGCCUAACACAUGCAAGUCGAACGGGGUGAGGCCCUUCGGGACCUUUACCUAGUGGCGAACGGGUGAGUAACGCGUGAGGAACCUGCCUUUCAGUGGGGGACAACAGUUGGAAACGACUGCUAAUACCGCAUGAAGCUUUUGGGAGACAUCUCCUGGAAGCCAAAGCUUAAUGUGCUGAAAGAUGGCCUCGCGUCUGAUUAGCUAGUUGGUGGGGUAACGGCCCACCAAGGCGACGAUCAGUAGCCGGUCUGAGAGGAUGAACGGCCACAUUGGGACUGAGAUACGGCCCAGACUCCUACGGGAGGCAGCAGUGGGGAAUAUUGGGCAAUGGGCGAAAGCCUGACCCAGCAACGCCGCGUGAAGGAAGAAGGCCUUCGGGUUGUAAACUUCUUUUACCAGGGACGAAGGACGUGACGGUACCUGGAGAAAAAGCAACGGCUAACUACGUGCCAGCAGCCGCGGUAAUACGUAGGUUGCAAGCGUUGUCCGGAUUUACUGGGUGUAAAGGGCGUGUAGGCGGAGAUGCAAGUUAGGAGUGAAAUCUAUGGGCUCAACCCAUAAACUGCUUCUAAAACUGUAUCCCUUGAGUAUCGGAGAGGCAAGCGGAAUUCCUAGUGUAGCGGUGAAAUGCGUAGAUAUUAGGAGGAACACCAGUGGCGAAGGCGGCUUGCUGGACGACAACUGACGCUGAGGCGCGAAAGCGUGGGGAGCAAACAGGAUUAGAUACCCUGGUAGUCCACGCUGUAAACGAUGAAUACUAGGUGUGGGGGGACUGACCCCCUCCGUGCCGCAGUUAACACAAUAAGUAUUCCACCUGGGGAGUACGACCGCAAGGUUGAAACUCAAAGGAAUUGACGGGGGCCCGCACAAGCAGUGGAGUAUGUGGUUUAAUUCGACGCAACGCGAAGAACCUUACCAAGUCUUGACAUCCCUUGACGAUGCUGGAAACAGUAUUUCUCUUCGGAGCAAGGAGACAGGUGGUGCAUGGUUGUCGUCAGCUCGUGUCGUGAGAUGUUGGGUUAAGUCCCGCAACGAGCGCAACCCUUAUGGUCAGUUACUACGCAAGAGGACUCUGGCCAGACUGCCGUUGACAAAACGGAGGAAGGUGGGGAUGACGUCAAAUCAUCAUGCCCUUUAUGACUUGGGCUACACACGUACUACAAUGGCGUUAAACAAAGAGAAGCAAGACCGCGAGGUGGAGCAAAACUCAGAAACAACGUCCCAGUUCGGACUGCAGGCUGCAACUCGCCUGCACGAAGUCGGAAUUGCUAGUAAUCGUGGAUCAGCAUGCCACGGUGAAUACGUUUCCGGGCCUUGUACACACCGCCCGUCACACCAUGAGAGCCGGGGGGACCCGAAGUCGGUAGUCUAACCGCAAGGAGGACGCCGCCGAAGGUAAAACUGGUGAUUGGGGUGAAGUCGUAACAAGGUA